rnacentral:rRNA from 1 species
GACGAACGCUGGCGGCGCGCCUAACACAUGCAGGUCGAACGAGCGAGCGAGAGCUUGCUUUCUCGAGCGAGUGGCGAACGGGUGAGUAACGCGUGAGGAACCUGCCCCAAAGAGGGGGACAACAGUUGGAAACGACUGCUAAUACCGCAUAAGCCCACGGCGACGCAUGGCACAGAGGGAAAAGGAGCAAUCCGCUGUGAGAUGGCCUCGAGUCCGAGUAGCUAGUUGGUGAGGUAAUGGCCCACCAAGGCGACGAUCGGUAGCCGGACUGAGAGGUUGAACGGCCACAUUGGGACUGAGACACGGCCCAGACUCCUACGGGAGGGAGCAGUGGGGGAUAUUGCAAAAUGGGGGAAACCCUGAUGCAGCGACGCCGGGUGGAGGAAGAAGGUCUUAGGAUUGUAAACUCCUGUUGUUGGGGAAGAUAAUGACGGUACCCAACAAGGAAGUGACGGCUAACUACGUA